AUCACAUGUUCAUGACAUCAUCAUCACAGGUCAUUUACCUCUUCCGGCAACACAGCCUGGAGCCUGACUCCACACAUAAUCACCUUGGUGACGUAAUCGCAGUCUGAGAUAGGUUGUGGUGAAAGUUUCCUACAAUAUAGGGUCCGAAGAUCAUUCUCCUGAUUGACCCAUCAAGGAUGGAUAGGGAUGGGGACAAGAUGGCAGAGAGUAUAAUAAAUCUCACCCUAGAGAUCCUCCUCCGGCUUACUGGAGAGGAAUACACAGUAGUGAAGAAGACCUCUAGUGAGCAUUGUCAGGCCCCGGUAUCUGAAGGACGGGGAGGAAUCCUGAGCCCAACAUCUAGGCCGACACCUCACUUCCCGAUACAUGAGAAAGUCAACAGAGAGAAGAUCCUAGAGCUCACCAACAAGAUUAUUGAGCUGCUGACUGGAGAGGUGACAUCGCUGGGAAUGCCGGGUCAUUAUACAGUAACGCUAUGAAGGGAUAUGGGUGAUGACUGUAUCAUUGAGUUCCAAUGAAGAAAAAAGUCGGCACUCCUUGCGAUGUAAUCGUUGAUAUUUUAUUCGCCCAUGAGUGGCGAAUAAAAUAUUCACGAUUACAUCGCAAGGAGUGCCGGCUUUUUCCUUCAUUGAAGUACCUGGGGCGACGCCUGCGGACCGUGCACCCACCAUUCACGCAGUGCCGCCCGAUCUACAUAAAAUGUAUCAUUGUGUUGUCAGGUUCCUAUAAGGUGUCAGGAUGUCGCCGUCUAUUUCUCCAUGGAGGAGUCUGAG